rnacentral:rRNA from 1 species
UACGUAGGUGACAAGCGUUGUCCGGAUUUACUGGGCGUAAAGAGCGCGCAGGCGGUCGAUCAAGUCGAGUGUGAAAGCCCCCGGCUCAACUGGGGAGGGUCAUUCGAUACUGAUCGACUCGAAGGCAGGAGAGGGUAGUGGAAUUCCCGGUGUAGUGGUGAAAUGCGCAGAUAUCGGGAAGAACACCCGUGGCGAAGGCGGUUCUCUGGGACGUACCUGACGCU